AUCCUUUUAUUGUUCGUAGUGUGAUGAUUGGGUGCUCGCACUCUUUUGUGACAUGUGCCCCCCACAAAUCUUGUUAUAAUGUUAGCAUAUUACCCAUAUGACA